rnacentral:rRNA from 1 species
AGCUAAUACCGCAUAACGUCGCAAGACCAAAGAGGGGGACCUUCGGGCCUCUUGCCAUCGGAUGUGCCCAGAUGGGAUUAGCUAGUAGGUGGGGUAAAGGCUCACCUAGGCGACGAUCCCUAGCUGGUCUGAGAGGAUGACCAGCCACACUGGAACUGAGACACGGUCCAGACUCCUACGGGAGGCAGCAGUGGGGAAUAUUGCACAAUGGGCGCAAGCCUGAUGCAGCCAUGCCGCGUGUAUGAAGAAGGCCUUCGGGUUGUAAAGUACUUUCAGCGGGGAGGAAGGGAGUAAAGUUAAUACCUUUGCUCAUUGACGUUACCCGCAGAAGAAGCACCGGCUAACUCCGUGCCAGCAGCCGCGGUAAUACGGAGGGUGCAAGCGUUAAUCGGAAUUACUGGGCGUAAAGCGCACGCAGGCGGUUUGUUAAGUCAGAUGUGAA